rnacentral:rRNA from 1 species
AAGAACUAACAGGAUUCCCCUAGUAACUGCGAGUGAAGCGGGAAAAGCUCAAAUUUAAAAUCUGGCGGCCUUUGGCUGUCCGAGUUGUAAUCUAGAGAAGUGUUAUCCGCGUUGGACCGUGUACAAGUCUCCUGGAAUGGAGCAUCAUAGAGGGUGAGAAUCCCGUCUUUGACAUGGACUACCAGUGCUUUGUGAUGCGCUCUCAAAGAGUCGAGUUGUUUGGGAAUGCAGCUCUAAAUGGGUGGUAAAUUCCAUCUAAAGCUAAAUAUUGGCGAGAGACCGAUAGCGAACAAGUACCGUGAGGGAAAGAUGAAAAGAACUUUGGAAAGAGAGUUAAACAGUACGUGAAAUUGCUGAAAGGGAAACGCUUGAAGUCAGUCACGUUGGCUAGAAAUCAACCUUGCUUUUGCUGGGCGUACUUUCUUGUCAACGGGUCAGCAUCAAUUUUGACCAUUGGAAAAAGUUCAGAGGAAUGUGGCAUCUUCGGGUGUGUUAUAGCCUCUGUUCGCAUACAAUGAUUGGGAUUGAGGAUCUCAGCACGCCGCAAGGCCGGGUUUCGACCACGUUCGUGCUUAGGAUGCUGGCAUAAUGGCUUUAAUCGACCCGUCUUGAAACACGGACCAAGGAGUCUAACAUGCCUGCGAGUGUUUGGGUGGAAAACCCGAGCGCGCAAUGAAAGUGAAAGUUGAGAUCCCUGUCGUGGGGAGCAUCGACGCCCGGACCAGACCUUUUGUGACGGAUCCGCGGUAGAGCAUGUAUGUUGGGACCCGAAAGAUGGUGAACUAUGCCUGAAUAGGGUGAAGCCAGAGGAAACUCUGGUGGAGGCUCGUAGCGAUUCUGACGUGCAAAUCGAUCGUCAAAUUUGGGUAUAGGGGCGAAAGACUAAUCGAACCAUCUAGUAGCUGGUUCCUGCGAUUUUCCCCCCCUCGGAAAAAAG